GUAUUUCAAGCCAGUACCAAUAUGAAAGCUAUGAAUUAUAGGUCAUAUUAGGCCACUGAAUCCAGAUACUAUCCCUUGACAAGUAAAUUCAUCUGGCAUUUGACAGAGUAAGGGCCUGUUCAUACAGUAUGAGCCCGGUUAACCAAGCUGGCCCGCUUUGCCGAGCUGGCCCGCUUUGCUUUCACAUGAGGCGGGCUAGCCCGGCAAUCAUAUCUAUUCAUAGUAACGAUUUCCCGCGAUAU
rnacentral:lncRNA from 1 species